GACGAACGCUGGCGGCGUGCCUAAUACAUGCAAGUAGAACGCACAGUUUAUACCGUAGCUUGCUACACCAUAAACUGUGAGUUGCGAACGGGUGAGUAACGCGUAGGUAACCUGCCUGGUAGCGGGUGAUAACUAUUGGAAACGAUAGCUAAUACCGCAUAAUAUUGAUUAUUGCAUGAUAAUUGAUUGAAAGAUGCUAUUGCAUCACUACCAGAUGGACCUGCUUUGUAUUAGCUAGUAGGUGAGGUAACGGCUCACCUAGGCGACGAUACAUAGCCGACCUGGGAGGGUGAUCGGCCACACUGGGACUGAGACACGGCCCAGACUCCUACGGGAGGCAGCAGUAGGGAAUCUUCGGCAAUGGACGAAAGUCUGACCGAGCAACGCCGCGUGAGUGAAGAAGGUUUUCGGAUCGUAAAGCUCUGUUGUAAGAGAAGAACGGGUGUGAGAGUGGAAAGUUCACACUGUGACGGUAUCUUACCAGAAAGGGACGGCUAACUACGUG
rnacentral:rRNA from 1 species